AUUGCACGCUGGCGGCAGGCCUAACACAUGCAAGUCGAACGAGUGGCGGACGGGUGAGUAAUGUCUGGGAAACUGCCUGAUGGAGGGGGAUAACUACUGGAAACGGUAGCUAAUACCGCAUACCAUCGGAUGUGCCCAGAUGGGAUUAGCUUGUUGGUGGGGUAAGGGCUCACCAAGGCGACGAUCCCUAGCUGGUCUGAGAGGAUGACCAGCCACACGGGAACUGAGACACGGUCCAGACUCCUACGGGAGGCAGCAGUGGGGAAUAUUGCACAAUGGGCGCAAGCCUGAUGCAGCCAUGCCGCGUGUAUGAAGAAGGCCUUCGGGUUGUAAAGUACUUUCAGCGGGGAGGCGUUACCCGCAGAAGAAGCACCGGCUAACUCCGUGCCAGCCGCCGCGGUAAUUC
rnacentral:rRNA from 1 species